GCGAGUUGCAGCAGCGCUGAAACUUUUAUCACCAAAUUGUUUUUAAGUUUUGUGUUAGGAACAGCAAGCAUAUUGUUUUAUGCGAUCUUAGAGUACAUUUGGGUUUGCAGUUUAUCAAAAGUUCAGACAAAUAUAAGGCAGUGUGAUCAUUUUAAGAAUGAUAGACUAAUGACAGAACUUUAUACUGAAUCUGGAGUAGUCAGGCAAUCAGUGAGGGUAAUUCUAUUUAUACACGAGAUUAUAGGAAUCAUCGCAACAUUAACAAGCACCUUACCCAAACCUAAAUCUCGUAUCCUGUGCCUGGAUGACUCACAAUCUCUUCGAGUUAUUGAUGAAUUUAACCAGAGUAACGAUUUAUAUGAGACCAAUCAGAGAAAAAUAGCAGCACACAAAGCUCAACUAGAUAAAGCAAAGAAAGACCCAAAUCAAGACGGUGCUCCGACAUCAAAGUCAGCCACCGCGUCCAGUCAUAAACCUGAUGUUCCAGAUGAUGUUGAUGAUGCUGAAGAAGCUGCAGAAGAGAUUAACCAUUCCAAAGAAGAAGAACGUCAAGCCGCACACCAACAGAUGUCGUAUGAUCGCAACCCGCUAGAGUCUCACACUGUUGAGCCAGGUAAUGCAGGUACUGCAACACAUACUUUUGAAGCAGAAACAGAAUAUGCCGAAGGUGGACGUCGAAAUAAUGCUGGAAAACGUCCAGUAAAGAAGGGUUUUUACGGAUAUCGAUCUACACUGUAAUCUGAAAUUCAGCGAUCAGUUAUCGCAAAUAUAAUUUGGCGAAAGAAAACACAGCUAUUGUCAAGGCUGUAGAUUGUUUUAUCUCUUGACAUCUUUGGAGUUAACCAAUCAUCGUGAUAAUUGCAGGUACAAGAAAAUUGUUUAUACAGAUUUUGACAUCUUCGGCGUUAACCAAUCACCGUGAUAAUUGCAGGUACAAGAAAAUAUGAUUGCCACACUAGAUUAUGAAAAUUGUUUAUACAAAUAUCGGGGUUUGUUUUUAUGUACAUAGUAUUUUGAUUAUGUUU